AUUGAUUGCAUUUCAAUCAUUCGAUCAAUUCUUAAAGAACUUGAUAUGUAAAUGAGGCCUGCUAUAGUUGAAGUUGUUAACAGUUCUAGAAUAGACUGUGAGUACUAUCAUUGCGCGGUUCAGUGAUACGAUUCGCGCGUUGUUUUCUAACAUUCUUUGGAGCCGUGUUCCGUGUUAUCGUCAGACAACAUGUUCGUCGAUCGCUGUAUCGAGAUGGUGAAACGACCGUGACGAUGUACUUAGUCGAAUCUCGGACGAGAUAAUAGCCGCCAGUGUAUUACUGGUUUGCUGUGAUUUGUGGCUGUGCCAGAAUCUGCACUUGUUCUGUUAGAUUCCAGGUAUAGUUAUGGAUGACUUGUAUACAAGAGAACAUAUGAUACGAGAUGAUCUGUUUAUGGUUGAUGCUUUGAUAAUUUGUUUUGGUUGAGCUAAAGUGCAGUAGAAUUUGAAUAAAUGCAACCCUGAUGCUUGUAAAUGAAUAUCAUUUGAGUAGCAAUGGAAUUGUUGGAGAGAUUUUGAAUUUAUGCAGAAAUAUUGCAUGAUGAAACUUGUGUUACUCUACUUUUCUGAAGCAUCUUUUUUUUUCUAAAAUAUAAGAUACAACAAAUAUUAAAUCUUCUACGAUUCUGUGUUUUAUUUAAUUUUAUUUGUGAUUUAAUGGUUUCUACUAACAAUUUCAGUUAGUAUGAAUUCCAUCAAGAUGGUUUUGAAACGCAGUGUAUCAAGAAAAAAAUGAAAUCACGUGGUACAAUCUAUAUGUGAUGAAUUUAAGCUAUUCAACACUGGUGAAUCAACUACUCAACAAAGUCAUUAAACUAUGCGACACUAUAUAUCAGCGAACAUAAACAAAUCCUCUACGUUAAAUACAUCAAAUUUUGCAAAUUAUACUGAUAUCAUUGCGGGAGAUAAUAAAUCUGUAUUUACAAACCUUACGAGAUUUGGCGUGUACGACAUUGGAUUUUGAACAUUUGUAGCCAAUAAGGAGCGCGAUAGAUACUGCUGCUAAUAACCCGGUGCUAUUUUUCCAUUGUUUCACUU